rnacentral:rRNA from 1 species
GAACGCUCUCCUCGGAGAGAGUGGCAGACGGGUGAGUAACACGUGGGAACCAACCCUUCGGUACGGAAUAGCCCAGGGAAACUUGGGGUAAUACCGUAUACGCCCUUAGGGGGAAAGAUUUAUCGCCGAAGGACGGGCCCGCGUCUGAUUAGCUUGUUGGUGAGGUAAUGGCUCACCAAGGCGACGAUCAGUAGCUGGUCUGAGAGGAUGAUCAGCCACACUGGGACUGAGACACGGCCCAGACUCCUACGGGAGGCAGCAGUGGGGAAUAUUGGACAAUGGGGGCAACCCUGAUCCAGCCAUGCCGCGUGAGUGACGAAGGCCUUAGGGUUGUAAAACUCUUUUGGCGGGGACGAUAAUGACGGUACCCGCAGAAUAAGCUCCGGCUAACUUCGUGCCAGCAGCCGCGGUAAUACGAAGGGAGCUAGCGUUGUUCGGAAUUACUGGGCGUAAAGCGCACGUAGGCGGAUAUGUAAGUCAGGGGUGAAAUCCCGGGGCUCAACCUCGGAACUGCCUUUGAUACUGCAUGUCUUGAGUCCGGAAGAGGUGAGUGGAACUCC